rnacentral:lncRNA from 1 species
GAGUCAACCUACUUGUUUGAGAUGUUGAGGAACUUUAUUGGAAUAACUGGAAGAGGAGGAUAUAAUGUUGGGUUGUAGUCAGAAUAUUUGAGGGAAAUGUGGUGAUAGUGUUUGUAGAUUUGAAUUUCGGGUGGUUGGAGUUUCAAAAAGAAAGCAGACCUCUCUAACCCAUGUUAUCACACGCACUAUGCAUCUCCAAAUGUCCCAAAAUUUUCAGCAACAAACUAGUUGGACAAAGUAAUGCUUUGUAUCACAAAUGAAGAAUCUUGUUUUUGUUAACAUUGUUUUCUUUUGUUGGCAGAGUUAUGCCCAUUACGUCAAUGGAUUAUUAGUUUCAUAAUGAAGGAAAAACAAGAACGAAUUAUAGCUAAAUUUCAUUUCCAUUUACGUAUUAAAAAAAACAUUUUCAUUUAAAAGUGAAGCAUGCAAAACAUCACUUCUGUGAGUGGUUACAAGAUGAGACGUGUGCUUUGGACGGUAUACGUGGUAGGCGGAAAAUUAUCUUUAGCAAGAAGUGUUCUUUCUGUGGAUGGUUCUUUAGAAGAAGGAAAGGACGGAGAAGAAAAACAUAGAGGCUAUAUCUGUGUUAGGAGACCUCUCCAUGAAAACAUCAGUGUUUUCUUAGACUUGUUAUUUUCUAGUCUAGUUUGCAAUGACUCUUAUAUUACUUCUGUCUUUCUAUUUCUUUUGUAUGUGCUUCUUUCGUUUUCUUUUUGUUUGCUUCAAGUCUUUCUUCUUUUUCU